rnacentral:lncRNA from 1 species
UUGUGCUACUACUGUUGGACUGAACUGUGAACAAUGCAGGACAGGUGGUUGCAGGUAUUUUGCACUGGUGCCAAACUGCUGUUCAGUGAAUACAGUACAGAAGAAAAACUUCAGUUCCAUCAGCUAAAGUUGUGGCUGAUCCCCCUGACUGAUUACACCAUGUGACUACUUGCUGUCUGCACGAUGGCUUCACAUGGUCUGAAGCCAAAUCUUAAGCAACUUUCACAGCUACAUGAUCUCAAAACAGAAAGGAUGGACAUCAUGAAACAGGAUUUUUUUGCACCCUUGUAAACUUUGAUGGCUGAUAACUGAUCUGUUGAUGAUGAAUACUCUUUUCUAAAAGGUUAAGGUGGUUCUGACAUUU